rnacentral:lncRNA from 1 species
CGGAGUGUUUGUUGUGUUAAGACGAUUUAGUGAAGCAAGGUUUUCUUGUGAGUUCUUUGCUUUGCUUUUCUUCUUUUCUUUUUUAAGGUUUGAUUCACUAUUUUAGUUCGCAAUGUGUUUUUAAGGUGUGGGUCUUUGCUUUUUUGUUUGUAAGAGUCUUUUUUGGUUUUUAUUUUGUACUUGAGAGUUGUGGUGGUUGACUUUUGGGUAGAAUGGCUAGUGAUAGUAAGAUAAAAAGAAAGAGAAAAGUUGUAAGGAAGGAGGCAAAGUAGGCAUAGAGUUUUAAGGGAAUUUGAUGUUUUCAUGGUGAGAAAUAUAUUUAGCUGUAGGGCUAAAGAUGAAGUGAUGAGGAGUAUGUUACAUGUAAGGGGAAUCAUAAUGCUGAGAUGCAAAUUUUAAUUUUUGAUUCUUUAAUGUGAGCGUGAAAAAUAAAAUGUUGGUAAUAACAAUAUAUAGCAACGAAAAGAGAAAUAAAAAUAAAGAACAUACAGAUUUUUACGUGGAAACCCUUUCGGGAAAAAAAUCACUGGCAGAAGAGAAGAAAAUUCACUAUGUCGAAUUCGAAUAAUUACAAGAGGAGUAGACUAUGUCUAUUUAUAGGCUUGUAAAACCAUAUUCUAAUAGGAGUGCAGUAAGAUUGAAAUACCUUAUUCUAAUCAAUAGCAAAUAGAUAAAGUUUAAUUAGGUUUAAAAAACCUUAUUCUAGAAUAAAAUAAAAGAAGUGUAGUUUUAUAUGGAUUUAACUUUUAUUUUAUUUUACCAUUGUACUUUAUUUAAAUAAGGAUUCGGGUCACUCAAUUCUAGCAAUCUCCACCCUGACACAAAUUCUCAAUGAACAAGUUCUUCAUCGUGAACUCUCAACGAACAAGUUCUCCACCUCUUCCAUAAAACCCCUUAAGGGUUUAACUUCAACAAUGAACACUAACCAAGUUUAAGCAAUGCUCAAACUUGGUUAUAGGAGGUGACUUAGUCAUCAUAUCUGUAGGGUUUUCAUGAGUACUAAUUUUGCUCACAAC